rnacentral:rRNA from 1 species
AUUGAACGCUGGCGGCAUGCCUUACACAUGCAAGUCGAACGGCAGCACGGGAGCAAUCCUGGUGGCGAGUGGCGAACGGGUGAGUAAUACAUCGGAACGUGCCCAAUCGUGGGGGAUAACGCAGCGAAAGCUGUGCUAAUACCGCAUACGAUCUACGGAUGAAAGCAGGGGAUCGCAAGACCUUGCGCGAAUGGAGCGGCCGAUGGCAGAUUAGGUAGUUGGUGAGGUAAAGGCUCACCAAGCCGUCGAUCUGUAGCUGGUCUGAGAGGACGACCAGCCACACUGGGACUGAGACACGGCCCAGACUCCUACGGGAGGCAGCAGUGGGGAAUUUUGGACAAUGGGCGAAAGCCUGAUCCAGCCAUGCCGCGUGCAGGAUGAAGGCCUUCGGGUUGUAAACUGCUUUUGUACGGAACGAAACGGCCUUUUCUAAUAAAGAGGGCUAAUGACGGCACCGUAAGAAUAAGCACCGGCUAACUACGUGCCAGCAGCCGCGGUAAUACGUAGGGUGCAAGCGUUAAUCGGAAUUACUGGGCGUAAAGCGUGCGCAGGCGGUUAUGUAAGACAGUUGUGAAAUCCCCCGGGCUCAACCUGGGAACUGCAUCUGUGACUGCAUAGCUAGAGUAUCGUAGAGGGUGAUGGAAUUCGUCCUCUACAUUGAGAUGCUUCAUUUGUUGAUGAACCCCGUUGCCCCAUGCCACCCCCUGUGCUCUUUUGAGCCUUUUGU